AGUGAACGCUGGCGGUAGGCCUAACACAUGCAAGUCGAACGGCAGCACAGUAAGAGCUUGCUCUUACGGGUGGCGAGUGGCGGACGGGUGAGGAAUACAUCGGAAUCUACUUUUUCGUGGGGGAUAACGUAGGGAAACUUACGCUAAUACCGCAUACGACCUACGGGUGAAAGCAGGGGAUCUUCGGACCUUGCGCGAUUGAAUGAGCCGAUGUCGGAUUAGCUAGUUGGCGGGGUAAAGGCCCACCAAGGCGACGAUCCGUAGCUGGUCUGAGAGGAUGAUCAGCCACACUGGAACUGAGACACGGUCCAGACUCCUACGGGAGGCAGCAGUGGGGAAUAUUGGACAAUGGGCGCAAGCCUGAUCCAGCCAUACCGCGUGUGUGAAGAAGGCCUUCGGGUUGUAAAGCCCUUUUGUUGGGAAAGAAAAGCAGCAGGUUAAUACCCCGCUGUUCUGACGUUACCCAAAGAAUAAGCACCGGCUAACUUCGUG
rnacentral:rRNA from 1 species